CGGCUGGACCGGAGCCCAGCCAGGGCCGCGAGGAGGGGGUGGGCGGGAGUGGGGGAGGAAAGAUAACUAGGGCGUGCGCCGCCCGCUCCCUCGCUCCUCCCUGGUCCCCUCCACUCCCAGGGAGAGGGGCCCGGGUGGGGUGAUUCCCAGGUUCUAAGACCCGCCCCGCCGGGUGGAAAACUGCCCUGGAGCUAGCUCGGUCUAGCAGAGGACGCAGGACUAAGACCCAGGGGGAAUGGAUAAGGGGGCAGGUCCUGGGGGUGAGACAGAGCCACCCUUAGGCAGCAACCCUUAGGUUGCCUCGAUGGCCCUUGACCCUCUCUGAACGGACAGCCCUGCCCCGGAACUGGGAGGAAAGAAGGAAACAAGAUUGAGCGCCAAAUGAGGAAGCCAAAGAUCAAAGAAGUUAAAUGAUCUACCCAAGAUUACAGAGUUGUUAAAAGACAGAAGAAGAAACUGAGUUCAGAUCUCUCAGGUUCCAAAGCCUGUAUUCUGCCUACUAGUCCAUCUGGCCUCAAUAUGGCAGAAUUGAUGACCCUGGAAGUCUGGCUCCCCUAGAGCCUGAAGGUGGAGGAAACAGCAUUCUUAAAUGAAUCCCUAGAUCAAAGCCAUCUCCUAUCUUGAGUCUAAUGGACAAACUGAUCCCAUCUUGAAUUGCUGAGACAAGUCAGACUCUACACUUGUGAUCCCUUCCAAACUUCAACUGUCCUGUAGAGAUUGCACUAUGAGAAUAUCAAAGCUGGUCUAGCCCCAAAUUGUCUCGUCCAAGCCCUCGUUUUACUGGUAGGGAAACCAAACCCCAAAACAGGGACGUUAGUAGCAAGUUAGAAGCAGAGCUGGGACCAGACCAGAGUCUGGUCCUGUUUUCCUCUUCUCACUCACUCCUCUCCUCCAUUUCCCACUCCCACCUUCGGGCUGCACUUCCAAGCCUGCAAGCUGAUGACCCUGGAUGCCAACAUAUUCCUUAUUUCCCCUCCUCUCCCCACCAUACUCUCCUGAUUCUUAGAAAACCAGAUAGAGCCUAAAGCUGGGGUCAAAUAGUUUUCUUUCAUUCAUCCUUUAUUUCAUUCAACAAACACUUAUCGAGGGUCUACUUAAGGCCAAGCACAAUGCUGGACACUAAUUUUAUUAUAAAUUUCAAAAUCCCUAGCUACCACCAUCGCUUUUCAGUCUAGAAGAUGAACCCACCUGAGGAUAGUGCAUCUGUAUGUCGGUGUGUGUAUAUCUACAAAUGUGUGUACAUAUUAUGCCUGUGUGUACCUGUGGGCUUGAGUGUAGGGUGUCUUCUCUCCUCCACCGUAAAUGCAGUUCCCCAUAGGAUGUGGAUAGUGGUUUCUCCCUUACUAUCCUUGCAGGUGUUCUGUCAUUCAGGGCAGUGAGUGUGUGUGCCCUGUAUUUCUAUUAACAUUUAUUUGCCCUUCCUUUCUCUCGAAAUAAAGUUCCCAGCUAUGAAUCCCUACCCCACUUCUCCACUGGGCUGACUACCCCAGCCCAGUCAAAAGACCUCCAAGGGAUCCCUUUAGUUCUCCAUGCAAACCCCACC
rnacentral:lncRNA from 10 species